CCUUGUCUCAGACCCGGCUCCCCAGGGUUGGUGCUCCUGUGUGGUCUCUGAUCUGACCCGGAGCCCCCGUGUGUGCUGCUGUCCUUCCAGACUGUUCCUUCCAUAGCGCGUUAGGGAUGAGGACCUGGACCCAGAGUGUUCCUUCCUGGAGGAUCUGCCUUGGUUCUCCAUGGAUGUGUGACCAGUGGCCAGGACUCCUGUGGACAGCGAGGAUCUGCAUUGCUCCUCUGGAGGAACUCGCUGUUUGCACCCCUCAGUGCCCAGGGAAGAGAAGUAACUGGGCAGCGUCUCCAUCAGCAGGAAGUGAGUGGCAGUGGGGCAGCCCUGUCACCUUGUACUGCAGAUGGAGAGACAGGGUCUUAGCCACUUUCCUGUCCCUGGGACAAAAUACCCAACACUCGCAGCUCAGAGGAGGAGAGGCUGACUUGGGCUCACAGGUUCAGUCCAUGGUCCAUGGUCGGUGGCUCCAAGGUGGAGAUGGGACAGGAGAGGGGAAGAUGCACAACACGAGGCAGCCAGGAGGCAGGGAGAGCGGGGAGGAGCCUGGGACAAGAGCACAGCCUUCAGGUCACCCCCGGGACUCCGCCCCUCUGGCCACGCCUCCCUCAGUUCAGUCAGCUCUGAAUUCUUCCAUGAUGAAUCCACUGGUGAGCAGAGCACCCCAGGAUCCAUCACCUUCCACACAGGAGGCUUUUGGGGGACAUUUUAGAUCCAAACCAUACAUGAAAGAAAUUAAAUCCUAACAGACCAAGGCAGUUUUGCUGAGUCCCGUAAGCUCAGUCUUAACAAGACAGGGCACGCACUCCUCCUCCGUCCCUCGGUGGGUAUUUAUUUACCCAGGGGCUUUGAUGGGCACUUGUGCACUGCCACUGUGGACUAGCGAGGCUGGGAUUGGCUGCUUUCACAGGUGAUAGGAAUGGCCUGAGGCCUGGUCAGGUGCCUGCAGUCACGGGGCCCCAGGGCAGGUGCUGGCUGGCUCCCUGGUGUGCUGAGGAUGAGUGCAAGGCAGACUCUCCAUGGCACGCUGGUGAGCUGGCCUGGCUGAGCGCAGGAGCCAGGGGCCGGCUGGACAGUCACCAGAGCCUCAAAGUCCCCUCCCAACCAUGCAGAGUGGAGGGGGAGGGUGCAGCUGUGGGAUUCUGGUCACCCCUGGUAAGCCAGGCUGCAGCCCCAUGAUCCAAGCAGAAACAGGAGGUCUUCGGGUUUUCAUUCACCCCUGUUUCUCUGGAAACAUCUGUAGCAAAUCCUGCAAGUGAAGAAGACUGGGGGCUCCCCGUGGAGGCAGCCAGGGAGGAAAGCAGGGUGUCAGCUGUCUUUCAGCCCUGCCUAGAAAUAGGAAACCCUACAGGGGCUGGCAAUGGCCAGCCCCUUCCUGUCACCAGGCCCAUGGAGUCACUGUGCCCAGCACUCCAUGCCCUGAGCUUCUGGCCAUGCAGAAAGAUGAAAUAGGGUAGGGGCGCUCAGUUCUGUGGGAGUCUGGGAUGAUGGGCAGAGGGGUUCCAAUGGCGAAGAAAUGGUGUAACAAGGAGGAAGGAAAGUACCAGUGUGGUUCAUCCCAUGUAUCAGCCAGCUUUUCCAUUGUGGUAUGGAUUGUGGUAUACCUGAGGUAUGCAACGUAAAGGAGGCAUGGUUUAUUUAGCUCAUGUUCUCAGGGGGUUCAGUCCACGGUCAGCUGGAUCCAAGGCAGAAACAUCAUGGCAAACAGUGUGAGGGAGCAAAGCUGCUCAGUUCAGGGCAGCUGGAGAUCAGAGUGAUCAUCUCCAUGAGCCCCACCUAACAGCUCACCCAGCUAAGACCUGAGUGAAUUAAUCCCCUGGCCAGCUAAGCCAGUCAAGCCAACACCUGGGGUUAACUGUACAUCCCAGGUACAGUCUGGAGACUGUUCUAUUUAGGGUGAGGUUUAAUCCUCACCACCUCUUCACAGAUGAGGAAACUGAGGCCUGAAGGUGGGAGUCCUUCAUCUGGCAACAGAAUGCAUGAAUGUGAGGUGGUGCCCAAGGCAAUCCAGGUUCCCAGCACGUCUGUCGCCAGACCCACACUGCUGACUCCUCCUCCUCUGCUUCUUCUGAGUGUUGUCUGCUGCAGCUGGGGCUCCGUAUCUCCUGGGGGAAGGGUGCAGGCGCCCUGAGCUUCCCUCCACGUUCACUGCAGAUGAGGCUGGUAGUGAGUGUGGGGCCAGGGGAGGGAGACAGGAGCAAGUGUGCACCUCGGGGGUGAGGACACACGGGACCUGCCACGCGGGGCACCCAGCAUGGGCCACUCGGGCACCUGCGGUUCAGAAUGCAGACAGACGCCUGGUGGGCGAGGGGCAGAGGCAGGGAGGGAGGGGAGGAAGGCAGUGGGGGUGUCACGGUUGGGACGAAGGAGAGCAAACACCCGCAGAGGGAAGUGGGCGCAUAGUUAGAGGUGGGGGCGGGGGCCCAGAGGGCGUAACAGGAACAGGCACUGAGCUCAGUGACCAGCAGGGGCCUGGGAGGGGCCACGAGACAGCGCUGCGCUGGCUCUUUCCGGGGCCCCGCAGGGCCUCGUCAGCAUGGUUACCCCGUGGGGGCCCCUGCGCCCGCCCCGUCCUGUGACACAGGCUCCCCUCACCCCUUCUGCGCCUGACUCAGGUGAGGACGUGCGGCUCUUUGGUUCACUGUAGGUGGAAGGGUAGCCAAAGGGGCAGCGCUGGGACUGCACCAUCAGUGCGAGUGCAGAGAUGACGGGAGGAGGAGAGGUUCGAGAGCCGGAGGAGGAGCGGGAGGCAGCCUCAUGUAGUACAGGGCAGCUCUCACCUGCCCCGGAAGAGCGCAGGCUGUCACCGCGGAGGGGCAGGGUCACAAGAGAGGCCCGGAAACUCCGCCAUUGCCAUGGGAACCACUGCCUGCUCAGCUGCCAGGACCCCAUUGAUGUUUAGGGGUUUGAGGUGUCUCAGCUGCCUCAGAGGAUGCUUCUGCUGCAGACCCAGCAUCCAAGAUAGGAAGUCACCACGGUGCCACAAAACUGGCUGCCAGGCAGAGGGGCUCGGCGUUCAGGACACACACAGCCUGCUCCUGCGCUGCGGUGGGUCCCCUCACCGCUACUUCCUCCCAGGAACGGGUCGUUUACUGCAUUUGAGACUCCAGAGUGUGAGCAUCAGAGAAACCUAGGACGUCCUAACCCCGACCCCACAUGACCACCAGGGAACCACGGCCAUGCCCAGCUUCAUUCCUUCAUCCAGCAGCUACUUCAUCCCCUUUACCAAAGUCACUCUGAAUUAAUCAGAGCACUUCACUGAUCGCAGACGUCUCUGCAGGGCAAGAAACAGCGAGCUCAAGAAAGGCCACAGUAAAUCCCUGACUUCAAGGCGGUUAAGUCCUGGGUGUGACACUUCCCUUAUUAUUAUGUUCAUAUUUAGGAGGCUGAUGAGCACAAAAACAAAAUCAAUUUUAAAUAUGUCUCGUCUGAAAAGGAAAUUGUUUUGGUAGAAAAAUGCUGGAAAGAUUCUCAUCCUUAAGGGUGAGGGAAGAAGGUGGCAUUUGCAAGCUCUUGCCACUAGAUGGCAACAUCUGAGCACGGAGUUUCAGGAGCUGGGCCAGCGCUGGAGGUCUCAAGCCCGCCAGCUGCCCCUGUCCUGCGAUGAAUCAGGGGCCCAAAGCUCCUCUUUCGCACAUCCCCGAAGUUCAGCUCUACUUCUGCCCCUGUCCUGCUUGAAAACUUACCCAGGUUCCCUCUUGUUAAAGCCUCAAAUGUCACCUGCCAUCUUCAUACUUGGAUUAUCAGUUCAGUCCCUUCUGCGCGCCCUGUAUUCUGGGGACAGUGGUGUUGACCAGCCGCUGGUGCUGGGGUUCUGGCGUUGCUGUGCCUGGGGGGACCCAAGCCACCCACCCCGAGUCCCUGGCUUCCCGCUCCCCACCCUGAUCCCUUCCUUGGUUGGACCUUUCCGUGCAGCCACCUCUGCUGAGCAUCGGCCACAUGGAACCCACACUUCCUCGCCAUCUGGGAGCAGCCUUUGUCUCUGGGGGACGCCUCCCACCUUUUGGUCCUGGGGAAGCCCCUGAAGCUGUGUGGCCGGAGGAUCAGGGCCUCGAGCUGCGGAGCAGGGUCUCUGGGUGGUCUUCACGGCGCACGCCUGUGGCACCGAGGUUAUCUUUACUCUGGAAAUCGAGGAUGGAUUUAGGUUUGUGGUUGCUGAAGCUUAUGAAACUCGGGGAAAUUACCUGUAACCAAAAUAAUACAAAGUUAAAUAAGAAUUUAGCUGCUCACCGCUAGCCCUGGCCAUGAACUCGGAAUAAACAGGCACAAGUAGGUGGUCUGUAGCUUAGCUUCAUUGGCGACAACACGACCUGCCUAGAAUUGACCUCUUUGUUACGUUUGCAGUGACUAUUUCAUCGUGAGACACUUCAGCUUUGGUGCCUGCAAAUCUGUCCAUAUUUUCCAUUUUAACUGGGGUUUGGGGACCCUGGCUCUGGUUCCUUUUGGGUUUUGCCGGUUACUUGGGUGUCGCUGAGCCUCUCCGGUUUCUGCGUUCAUCCCACUCAGGUGGCACGGGAAUAACGGAGCUGGGGGGAGCUGCUUCCGAGCGGAGCUGCCGAUGCCGAUGCCGAUGCCGAUGCAGCCGGGUGGGACCUGCCUCACCACCCUCCUGCUCCUUCGUCUCAGUCGUUGCCUGGCGCACUGUUUGUGUCCCCCGUGUCCGUUUCUCUGUGGGCCCGAGCGAUGUAAAUGUGCAGCAUGGCUAAAGAUGUCAUCUUCCCGAUUCUGCUAGAAGGUUUUGGAAAUAUUUUUUCUAUUAUAACAAGAUUUUAGGUGAGAGAGAAAGUGUUUGCCUUAGUCUGUUUCGCGUCGCUAUCUCGGGAUCUCUCAGAGUAGCUCAUUUAUUUGGAAAAGAAAUGGGCUUCUCCCAGUCGUGGAGGCUUGAGGUCCGAGUCCAGGGUGCUGCGGGCUUGGGGCUUGGUGAAGACUCAGCUUCAGCUCCCAGAGGGCCUUGAGUAGCGCAUUCUCCAGGGACAAGGACUUCCUCUCGCCACAGCACAAGAGCAGGGCGCUGCCUGGCCCCAGUACGUCACCGCCACCUGGGGGCAGCACAGCCCUCCCUGCACCGCUGCCUUGGGGGCCAUGUUCCAGUGAGGUCUGGGGAGGGGACCCUGCUUCAGAACCAUCGUUGUGGCUGCACAGUUUCUGGCUGACAUCAGCAGAGUCCACCAGGAUCCUGCAUCUGUGGAGAGAGAAUGGAUUUUCAGUUCUGUGUGGGAAGAGGAUCCUGCUACCAAGGUGUGCUAAAGCAGCACCUUUCUGAAGCCAUAAAACAGCAAAUGUUCUCAUAAGAAAUGUGUUCUAUCCCACCAACCAGUUCUCCUGUUGCCACUUGCAAAACUGCAAUAAAAGCGUCUUUGAAUGGAUGCUCCCUCGCUAUGUGCUGCGAGCUCUGAGCUGCUGCCCGUGCCACUGCUCUCCAUAUCCUCGCCUCCUCUGUCUCCCGUCACCUCACUUCUGUUAUUUCAUUCACUGCAGCAUCCGGGUCACAAGCCUUUAUCUUGCUGCACACCUGGUACUACAGGAUGGACACCAUGUGAGGUAUGAUAAAAGGGCACUGAGAGUUUAAAUUCAAAAUAUUUAUUAUUACAUUAAAAGAAACACUGUCAGGAAUCCCCCUCAAAACAGUCCCCUCUCUCUGAACACACUCAUCCCAUUGUCCUUGCUACUUCCUGCAGCAGCUCUGGAAUCCUCUUUCCUGAGGGUCUUUAGCUGUAGUGUCCUGGUUGCCUCAAAGUCCUGAACUGAUUCAAAACAUUUCCCUUUCACGGCCACUGUGACUCUGGGGAACAGCCAGAAGCUGCAUGGUGCCAGAUCAAUGAAUAAAGCGAAUGAAGACAGAGUUAUGUGUUACAAGCUGCCUUUAUGUUGGAUGGCGCUCAGCAGCAGCGUCCACUAGUAUGUGUGAUCAUACCUCGUAAAGACACUCAGUGAAGAGGACUCCGGAGCUGCUUUAAAAAGUGGCCAGAAUGAAGGGAGGGAAGAGCGUGUUUGGAGCGAGGGAGAGGAUUUUUGAGGAGGAUUUGUGGCAAUGUGUCUUUUACAGCAACACAUUUUUAUUUAAACAUUCACAGCAGUUUUGGAUCACCUGCAACUCUGAGACUGUGGCCUCCCGGAGGAAGGACGUUGACUACGCAGGUGCCUGCGGCCUGGGCACUUCAUCUCCCCCUCCUUCUCUGCUCGAACCCGGCAGCCUCCCGCUCCCUUCCUUUGCACAGGGUGGCCCUUCCCCUGCCUGCAGCCAAGUGUGUACAUGGAACCAGAGCCUCUUGCUCCCUCUGCAUCAUUUUCUCUUUACCAAGCUGUUUUGAAAUGAGGUCGUUGAAUUUUCCAUCCUGCCCUCAGGCCCCAGUGUGCCGCUCUGCCCUGCGCUGACUGAUGUUGACGGAUGCAGCUGUAGAAUCCGGGGCUCCUGAUGUCGGGGACCUGAGUGUUCGGGAGCUGGCCCCGAGCCCAGUGGGCUCCAGGGACUGCUUCGCUCUGUCCGUCUUCAGGACAGUUGAGAAAGCAAUAAACCUACACAGAGCACAGGGAAGCGAAUGGGAGAACAGCCAGAUCCAAGUCAGGUAAACUGAGGCUCAACAUUCACCGUUUGUAGAGAGUGCAUUUAGAUUUGGCUCUUUCUGGGGAUGCUUUCGUAUGGAAAGUGCUCUUCCUGCUACUGCCAGCCCUUCCCACCAUCUGCCAGGCUCAUGUUUGAGCCCUGUUCUGAGCCCUCCUGCCACGGUCUACUCUGCUCUCCCUCUCGGCACCUCCUGGGUCCACCUGUCCCUUCCCUCCGAUCCUGGCCUGGGUUGUGAGCCAGGAGAAAUGGGGUCUGGGGAGGAGUUGUUAAUAUUUUUCUGAAAACCCAGGCAGGAAUUCGAACGUUGGCAAAUCCAGGGCCUUCUUUAUUUAUUUGUCCUGGGAAUCGAACCCAGGCCCUUUGAACUGAGCGACAACCCUGGAGUUUUUCAUUUUUUACUUUUCCCAGGUGGGACUCACACUUGUGAGGUUCGGGCCUCAGCCUUCCAAGGCGCUGGAGUUUCGUGCAUACACGGCCACGCCCGGACCCAGGGCCAGACCUCCCUGGGGUUAGGUAGAGCCACAUGCAAGGGAAGGUCGCACUGCCAUGGGGCUCUGCCACCCUGGCAGUGCCUGUGACCAGUGAUUCCCACAUCAGCACCACUGUUCUUAAUGAACAAAACCCAGCUCGUAAUCAUGGCAUCAGGAAGGCAGGCACCCAACACUGAUGCACGUGAAGGGCACCCACUGCUCACCAGCUGCCAACUGCAGCACUGCUGGUCCCCGACUGCGAGUCACUGGGCUGUUUUUCUCAGGGACAGCUUCUGAGGUGGCCUCACACAGUGCUCACUCGUGCUCUGCGUGGAGGGCCCGUAACAGACACAGGGACACCGUAGGGUUCUUGGUCCGCCAGUGGGAGACACCAAGCCAUUACUGCUGGAUUUUGCAUGUGGAUUUCCUCCUGUGCAGUAGGAGCUUGGCCAUGGGGUCCUGGGAGCUUGGUCCUUCAGAGUCAGGCACAGUAGCCAAGAGCCUCCCAGUGCUCUGGAGCCAGGCGCCCUCCAACUGGAGUCCCAGACCAAACAGGAGGACAGAUGGGAGCAAGAUGGAGCCAGAGAGUCAGAAAGGUCAGCCGCCCCCUCCCACGCCCCCAGUGUUUAUUUAGCUUCACAACAUUGGUGGCGCUCGGCGAGGGCCCAGAGCUAGCAGCUGGACCGGGCUUUUCCUGCCCUUCCCUUGACACCAUUUUUCAUGCUUUAUAAAGGAAGGAGCACAUUUUCUGGUCAAGAAAUAAACAAACAACAACAAAACUUGGAUGCUGGAAUAAAAUCGAGUCAUAUUCUCAAACAGAAGAAAGGAUCGUUUUGCAACCAACACGCAGCGUGGUCUCAAGAUUUCCAUCCAUCAGCAAUAUAUGUGCCCAAAAUUCACCCAUUUUAAGUGAAACCUGAUAUUUUUAGUGAAUUUAUAGAACUGUGAAGCCAUCAGCACAACCUAAACAUACAUGUUUCUGAAUUCUUCUAAUCCCUAAAUAGUAAACAUCCCUUUGCAAUUUC